rnacentral:lncRNA from 1 species
CCAUUGGCUGCGCCCACGGAGCCGCCUUGCGAUUGGCCCUAAGCGCGGGUGGCUGGGGUUGCGAGAGGCAUCAGGAUCCCUGGCGGCGCCUGAGCCAGCGGCUGCUAGGAGGCUGUGUCCGCAAGCCAGCGGGGCGAGGCGCCUGGGCCCUGCGCGUCAGGUCCCGGCCUGGGGCACCGGGGCUGCCAGCGUCGGAGGAGGCCUGAGACCUGGGAGGAAGCUGGAGAAAAGAUGCCCUCUGAAUCUUUGUGUUUGGCUGCCCAGGCUCGCCUUGACACCGAAUGGUUGAAAACAGAUAUACAGAUGGUAGUGUCGAACCAAGUGGAACAAAGAAAGAAGAUCUGAAUGACAAAGAGAAAAAAAAUGAAGACGAAACUCCUGCACCUGUAUAUAGGGCCAAGUCAAUUCUGGAGACCUGGGUGUGGGUCAAGCAACCAGGUAAUCUGAGUUUUGGCACUUUGGAAAGCUUGAUCUGACGCUCCUUUUCUAAAUAACUUGGAUGGAUUAUUCGUAUUUUUUGGUAACAAUUUUAAAAAAUGUAAUUAAAA